ensembl:lncRNA TMCC1-DT TMCC1 divergent transcript
GGGCUGGUUGAGCUGCGCCGCUGCAGGUAGUGCUGAGUUGCUCCAGGUAAGCUCCUCCUCUCAAAAAGCUCUAGGAACCGAGCCACCCUCGCCCUAGGAGCAACGCCCCUGAGUAAUAUGGGGUUUCGUCGGAUUUCUGCCCGCCGCUCUGGAUCACACGUUUGUUCUCCCUAUUUGAGUCGCAAGGCCUUCCUUCAUUCCACCUAGCAGGCUGCUUGGAAAAGGGCAGAGACUCAUUACUUUGCACCAGUGCCACUGGGUUAGGGUCUCCACAACCGAGCUGGUCUCAGCAAGUGGUGUCCAUACAUGGGGCUCGAACCUGGGUUGAAGGGUCGCCAGAGCGACGGUUGGAGAACGUGGAACUAAGCUGGAGGACACCUGAGUACUCUUAAGCAAUCCCCGUGGUGAGUAAGAAGGGGAGCUCGGAAGCAUCAGGGUAUCAAUGGGACAAGUGUGGGCUCUGGUUCAUUCCACCUUGGAACCUUUUCACCCUAAUGAUGAGGAGGAAGGAAAGUAUAAUGAACUAACAGAAGACAUGACAGAGCAGGUUUGUUUGCCAGCUAAAGCUAAAGCGGCAAAGGAGGAAGAGGUUCCUCCCUACCCUUCUGCACCCCCUCAUUAUUUUGAAGAAAAAGAGUAGCCUGACCCUCCAGAUCUUUCUUUUCCAGAGGACACUGGGUGAAAAGUAGUUGCCCCAGUGACCGAGCAGUGCCUCGAGUGACCGCUCUCAGUUCUAUUCAAGCAGGAAUCCAGCAAGCUAGAAGAGAGGGUGAUUUAGAGGUUUGGCAGUCCCUGUUGGAAUACACCCCCCAGAUCAACAGGGAAAUAUUAUAGCUACAUUUGAGCCUUUUCCUUUUAAAUUACUCAAAGAAUUUAAACAAGCUAUUAAUCAGUAUGGACAAGGUUAUCCUUUUGUAAUGGGACUGUUAAAGAAUGUUCCUGUCUCCAGUCAGAUGUUGCCAGUGGGGCUUAUAGGAUUACUUCUAGGUAGAUCUAGUUUAAAUUUAAAAGGACUGCAAGUAUAUACAGGAGUCAUUGAUUCAGAUUACAAUGGGGAAAUUCAAAUUGUUUUAUCUACUUCUGUUGCCUGGAAAGCAGAGCCAGGAGAGCGCAUAGCACAGCUCCUGAUUGUGCCAUAUGUGGAAAUGGGGAAAAGUGAAAUUAAACGAACAGGAGGAUUUGGAAGCACAAAUAAACAAGGUGAAGCAGCUUAUUGGGUGAAUCAAAUUACUGAUAAAUGUCCUACCUGUGAAAUAACUAUUCAGGGAAAGAAAUUUAAAGGUUUGGUAGAUACAGGAGCAGACAUUUCAGUUAUUUCUCUACAGCACUGGUCAUCCUCCUGGCCAAUUCAACUCGCUCAAUUUAACAUAGUUGGAGUUGGUAAAGCCCCUGAAGUAUAUCAAAGUAGUUAUAUUUUGCACUGUGAAGGGCCCGAUGGACAACCUGGGACUAUUCAACCAAUUGUAACUUCUGUACCUAUAAAUUUAUGGAGGAGAGAUUUAUUACAACAAUGGGGAGCACAAGUUCUAAUUCCAGAACAAUUAUAUAGCCCUCAAAGUCAACAUAUGAUGCAUGGAAUGGGGUAUGUCCCUGGUAUGGGACUAGGAAAAAAUUUGCAAUGUUUGAAGGAACCACUUCAAGCAGGAAGACAAAGUUCCCACCAAGGUUUAGGGUAUCAUUUUUGAUCGUGGCCAUUGUUAAGCCUCCAGAACCUAUACCUUUAAAAUGGUUGACAGAUAAGCCAAUUUGGAUAGAAUAAUGGCCACUAAAUAAAGAGAAACUGGAGGCUUUAGAGGACUUAGUUACUGAAUAAUUAGAAAAAGAACACAUAGCUCCAACAUUUUCCCCUUGGAAUUCUUCAGUCUUUAUUAUUAAGAAAAAAUCAGGUAAAUGGAGAAUAUUAACUGACUUAAGAGCCGUUAAUUCCGUUAUACAACCUACAGGGGCAUUACAGCCAGGAUUGUCUUUUCCUGCUAUGAUUCUGAAAAAUCAGCCUUUAAUAGCCAUAGAUUUAAAAGACUGUUUCUUUACUAUCCCCUUAGCUGAGCAAGACUGUGAACAGUUUGCAUUUACAAUUCCUGCAGUAAACAACCUGCAGCCUGCUAAGCAUUUGCAUUGGAAAGUGUUGCCAGAAGGCAUGUUAAAUAGUCCAACAAUUUGCCAGACUUAUGUAGGGCAAGCAAUUGAACCUACUUGUAAAAAUUUUCACAGUGUUACAUUAUUCAUUAUGUGGACGAUAUACUUUGUGCUGCCGCCCCUCGAGAAAUAUUACUCCAAUGUUAUGAUCACUUGCAAAACUCGAUUUCUCGUGCCAGUUUAAUUAUAGCUACUUAAAAAAUUCAGACUACUACUCCUUACUCCUACUUGGGGAACUUAGUAAAUGACACUACCAUUGUGCCACAGAAAGUAACCAUAUAGUAACCAUAUACGUCGGGAUCAAUUGAAAACAUUAAAUGACUUUAAAAAAUUACUAGGGGACAUUAAUUGCAUAUGACCUGCUCUAGGCAUUCCUACCUAUGCCAUGAGUAAUCUAUUUUCUAUCCUUAGAGGAGAUCCUAGUCUCACUAGCCCUUGGCAAUUAACAAAUGAGGCUGAGGCAGAGUUACAGCUGAUUGAAAAGCAAGUCUGUAAAGCUCAAAUGAAUAGAAUAGAUCAAGAGAAGACUCUAGAUUUGCUAAUUUUUUCAACUCAGUAUUCACCUACUGUGUUAUUGUCCAAGAGCAGGACUUAGUAGAAUGGCUUUUUCUUCCACAUGCUAAUUCACAGACUUUGACCCCUUAUUUGGAUCGAAUUGCUACUAUGAUAGGAAAUGGGAGAACUCGGAUUGUUAAAUUACAUGGAUAUGAUCCUGGAAAAAUUAUUGUUCCUCUUACAAAGGCACAAAUACAGCAACUUUUAUAAAUAGUCUUACUUGGCAAACCCACGUAGCUGACUUUGUGGGUAUUUUCAAUAACCAUUUUCCUAAAACAAAAUUAUUUCAAUUUUUGAAAUUAACUAAUUGGAUUCUCCCUAAAAUAACUAAAUUUAAACCAAUUGAAAGUGCUGAAAAUGUCUUCACAGAUGGGUCUAGUAAUGGUAAAGCUUCUUAUUCUGGAUCGAAAGGUAAAGUUUUCCAGACGCCCUAUACUUCGGCUCAAAAAGCAGAGCUUGUAGCUAUAAUUGAGGUAUUGACUGCUUUUGAUAUACCUAUUAAUGUGAUUUCUGAUUCUUCAUAUGUGGUUCAUUCCACACAAUUAAUUGAAAAUGCUCAGUUACGAUUUCAUACAGAUGAACAACUGAUGACUUUAUUUACCCAACUGCAAACAGCAAUUAGGAGUAGAAUGCACCCUUUCUACAUUACUCAUAUUCGGGCUCAUACACCUCUUCCAGGACCUUUGACUCCAGGGAAUCAAAUGGCUGAUCGCCUAGUUGCUACUGCAAUAUCUAAUGCCAGACACUUUCACAAUUUAACCCAUGUUAAUGCCUCUGGUCUCAAACGCAGAUACAGCAUUACCUGGACAGAAGCUAAAGCUAUUAUCCAGUGAUGCCCAACUUGUCAAAUGGUGCAUUCCUCGUCUUUUACAGGGGGAGUUAAUCCUCGAGGAUUGGAACGUAAUUCUCUUUGGCAAAUGGAUGUCACCCACGUUCCCUCGUUUGGGAGACUAGCUUAUGUACAUGUAUGUGUGGACACCUUUUCUCACUUUGUCUGGGCUACAUGCCAAUCAGGAGAGUCUUCUGCCUGAGUUAAACAUCACCUUUUGCAGUGUUUUGUGGUGAUGGGCAUUCCAGCUUCUAUUAAAACAGAUAACGUCCCAGGCUAUACUAGCCAAGCUCUAGCUACAUUUUUCUCUAUAUGGAAUACUAAACACAUUACUGGCAUUCCGUAUAAUUCUCAAGGACAAGCCAUAGUGGAAAGAAUGAAUCCCUCCCUGAAACAGCAGUUGCAAAAGCAAAAAGGGGGAAACAGGGACUAUGGGAUACCCCAUAUGCAAUUGAAUCUAGUAUUAUUGACUUUAAAUUUUUUGAGACUGCCUAAAGGCCAGAUGCUAUCAGCAGCUGAAUAGCAUCUACAGAAACCAGCUGCAAAGACAGAAGCAGAACAACUGGUUUGGUGGAGAGAGCCAAUGAUAAAAAGUUGGGAAAUGGGUAGAAUAAUAACUUGGGGUAGAGGUUAUCCUUGUGUUUCUCCAGGACCAAAUCAACUGCCAAUUUGGAUAUCAUCGAGGCACCUGAAACCUUAUCAUGAGCCUGAUGCUGAGGAAUAGAUUCUGGGAGGAUCCCGAGGAUCCCCUGGUUGCAGCCAUGUUGAGACUGACGCUGAGGGGGACCCCAACUGUCACGAGCAACACCCAUCGAACGCAGCCACCUACCUGGGGACAGAUCAAGAAGCUGUCACAGAUGGCAGAAGAAAACCUAAGGAAAGUGGGACAACCAGUCACAAUGAGUAAUUUAAUGAUAGCUAUGAUAGUGGUGAUCACCAUUGCCAUGAGUAU